GAAUUUUUUAAUAUUGACAGAGUAUCUUGCUUUGAAAAAAUUAUGUACUUUUGGCAUAUGCAUAAAGAAAAGGUUGUCUUGAAUCUGGUGACAACUGCUACCUUGUGGAGCUUGUGGAGGCUAAGAAAUGAAUUUUGCUUUCAGGGGCGCAAAUGGAUAAGUGUAAAAUGCAUUCUUGCAAAAAUAAGCUGCUAUUUACACCAAUGGAAAGUUCUCUGCGACGAUAAGCAAGCAACUCUUCUGCAGCGAAGCAUCCUCCUACUGGACAAACGGCGUGGGGAACUCCUCCGGAUCGCAUGGAGGUGAGGCUGGGGGAGACCAACUGAAAACAGGGCACUGGAGAUGGUGGAGCAUCCCUGAAGAUCUGAUUUGGACCCAUUCUUCUUUGUUCUCCUGUUUUCCUGUUGGUACUCUGUAAUAUUCAGUGUUGGACAAGUUUGUGUCCUAGCCAUAAACUGCUCUAUUGGCUGUAGGCGUUUAUCGUUCGAGUUAGAUGCUUUGUGGUAGUCGGUUCCUCAAUCUUUGUAAUGCUAUGACUGGUUGCUGUCUGCUUCAUUCUAUAAAAUGGGGCAGGGCAGACCUGCCAAAUUACACUCGAAGUUUCCUAUGGAGUGACCUUCUCAUCUUCAUAGGGAGCUGUAUGCAUAGUUUUAAAUAGCUCGCUAUAGCCCCGCUAUAGCCUUUUUAGCAAGGUGCCGCUAAAUGGUCUCAUGUACAAAUAGCCUGCUAUAGCCUACUAUAGCUCCGUUAUAGCUGAUUUGGAGGUCCGCCGCUAUUUGGAGAACAUGCUGACCGGGACGGUGCCGCUCGAGGUCCUCUCUCUUGUUAUUGUCGGAGACUUGACUAAGCUAAAUGUCACGAAAAAUAAUCUAGCCGGCACUGCCAGAUCAUCUAAAACAAGAGUGGCUACGGUCAUCCAGGACACGCUCAAGUGAAGACUACAAGCUAAGCAGUAGUGACAACCUCAACUUGUGCAAAAAUAAACUGAAUGAUGAUUGCUCCUUCUGAAACUGCUGCUAGUAGCUGCAUGCUUACCUCCGUUUCAACAAGGAAAAAAGAGAAAGUUGGGUGUGUGUCCACUGUAAUCAGUAGCAACAUCAAAAUAAUGAACCCUUCUGUGGACAUUUACCGCAUAUCCAGUAGUAUUAUCCGUCUUCUUUAGUGCCCAGUCGGUCCAAGUGAAGGAUAGUAUAUGUAUACGAAAGUCAUUGUGUACACAAUUACAGGUUGGUGGUCUAGUAGUACUCUUUAGCUUUUAGCUAUUCUCCAUGUUCAACCCAACAUGCAACUUUCAAUUGAAUUUGCAAAGAUCUUGAACGUGCAGGACAAUCGGCGACACCGGUCAAAAUGUGAGCAGAACACAAAACACUCGCCCACGACGCUGAGCAAAUGUACAGAAAGACCAACAGAUAUGUGGAUAGAAUGCAUAGAUUUAUUUCAAAUACGAUGACGCACAGACAGAGCUGGGUCUAUCCAAUGCAGUAUUAUGCAGUUGCUGUUUCUAAAAAUAGGUUGUGGAUGGUCCUUGGGCACUCUUAGCUGAAGCAUCGCCUAGACGAAUCCGCCUCAAAACACGUUGGUGCUGGCCAACUUUAGACCAUGGUGCCAUUGACUAGGCUGGGCAUCAUCCAGUACACCAUCCGACUAGAGUUGGUGGCAGGACGGUUCCUAUCAGAUCGCUAGUGGCAACACUGGUUUAGCGUCUCUCAAGAGAGAGAACAUGAAGGACAAAACUAGGGUGUAGGUAGGUACCCAGAGAACUGGCUAGGUGACCACAAAAAAAUUGCUUCUACAUCUCGCGCUUAUCAAGAUCAACUCAUUCACUUGGGUCCUAGAUCACCUGGAAGGCUGGAACAAGAGUUCUGCAAAUGCUUCUGUUGUCUCCUAUUUCCAUGUAUUCUUGCAUCUUUCUCGUUUUGCUCUCGUGCUCUCUCUCUCUGUGAUAUGUUUGUGAUACCAAUGCCCUCCAUCAAUUCUGAUCAUUUGACAAAGUAAGUUAAUGUAACCAAGGAGUUGAAGUGGAGUGGAACAGUGGAGCAAUUCCAUCCAAGAACCUUAUUCACUUGAGUGAAGGAUGGUGUGGUGUGUGUGUGUAUAUAUAUGUAUGGAAGAGAAGGACUGCGCACAUAAUUAGAGGUUGGUGGUGUAAAGAGCAUCUCAGCUGCCCUAUUUUAGGACACAAAAAGGAGGUGGAGUAAAAAAAAAUUAGGCACAAAAACUGGUUUUUUGGGGCACGAGAAUUCGCGGUCUCCAACCGCAACCCUAAAUUAGGGCACCCAGAUUAGCAUAGGAUACAAUCUGACACCAAAUUAGCAUAGGCUACAACCUGACAAGCGAAAUUGACAGGGGCUUUCUCUGUAGUUCCUUCAGAAAAUGGAACAAUAAAAGUCCGAAUUUCCUGAAGACUUAUAGAUGAAUUCCAACAGGGGGGCUGCAUGUUCUGAGCACUUAAACUGGAACGAUGCACUUGCACUGCACAUGUUCAGAGACUAGAAAGCACCCAAUUGCUGAAUUCCAUUUUCUGAGCACUUAAAUUGGAACGAUGCACUUGCACUUGCACUGCACGAGCUGCUGCUGCUUUCACUGGAGAAAAGACGAUGGAUUGGUCCGCUGGAAAUAGGGCGCGCACACACAAGUGAAGGUCUGGCCGUGUGGUUCACAGAGUAACAAACUAAAACUCAUUUGCCUAAAAUUUCUCCUAAAAUCAGUUUUAUGGAAACUCAUCUUUAAUUCUCCUAAUUCAAACAAGCAUUUAAAGUUUUUGUUAGGU